GGUUUGUCGAGCAGCAGCAGCAGCAGCAGCAGCAGCAAGGACUGCACUCGAGUGUCGCGACGUUCGCCAUUAAAACAUUUGCCACGCUCACUUGCCAACAUGGACAGCAGGCAGAACCGACUCCCCCACAAAAAAAGGAAGGCAGGAUAAGUGCUGAGAGCUCAGAGCUCACAAAGCAAAGGACAAUUGUUAUAAAGAUGGCGUCUUAAGUCGAACCCCAACGGCGCAUGGAAGUCAUUAACUCAAGUCGAGUGCUCUUUUAUCUCGCCACUUGAGCGCAUCUCAGCAGCUCAGCCUCUCUGCCUCUCUGCCCCAUCUGCGAUUCCUUUUGCUGUCGUUUCCAGCGCCAUUUUGUUUCAGCUCUUGUUAAUUUCUAU
rnacentral:lncRNA from 1 species